rnacentral:lncRNA from 1 species
GCAAGAUCACAGCAAAAUGGAGUAUCUGUGUGAUGGUUGUAUCGCAGGUCUGAAGUGCACAAAGAUGCUAUUUUAGUAGAAAGUCAGAUGUCACAAGUAGUCUUGAGAGUGGAAACAUGAAGCAUGCUUAAAAAUGAGAUGAAAGCUUUGGCAAUAUGGGAAAUUUUAAAAAGACUUAUUUUACCUUUGAAACAAGAUGAAUGUUUUAAAAAAUUCUGAGGAGCACAGCAGCUGGAAGACAAAAAUAACUUACGGAGAAAUUUGAAAAAAGUCAUAUGGACAUACCAAUAGCCC